rnacentral:pre_miRNA from 1 species
AGGAGGAACAGCAACAGUGGAAGCAGCCAGGUCUGGAGCCCUGGAUUCAGCUCCCUCAGUAGCUACAGAGCUCUCAGUCUGCAGGGUCCUGGAUGCUCCAGGGCGGG